UACAGAGGUCUCAAGCGUUGUUCGGAUUCAUUGGGCGUAAAGGGUGCGUAGGCGGCUUGGCAAGUCGGAUGUGAAAGCCCACGGCUCAACCAUGGAAGUGCAUCCGAAACUGCUGAGCUUGAGUACUUAAGAGGAUCGCGGAAUUCCCGGUGUAGAGGUGAAAUUCGUAGAUAUCGGGAGGAACACCAGUGGCGAAGGCGGCGAUCUGGGAAGAUACUGACGCUGAGGUGCGAAAGCGUGGGGAGCAAACAGG
rnacentral:rRNA from 1 species